rnacentral:rRNA from 1 species
GACAGAGGGUGCAAACGUUGUUCGGAAUUACUGGGCGUAAAGCGCGUGUAGGCUGCUCGGAAAGUCGGAUGUGAAAGCCCUGGGCUCAACCUAGGAAGUGCAUUCGAAACUUCCGAGCUGGAGUGCUGGAGAGGAAGGCGGAAUUCUCGGUGUAGAGGUGAAAUUCGUAGAUAUCGAGAGGAACACCCGUGGCGAAGGCGGCUCUCUGGGACGGUACUGACGCUGAGACGCGAAAGCGUGGGGAGCAAACAGG